AGCAGUCGCCGCGGGAAUACAGAGGGUGCGAGCGUUAAUCGGAUUUACUGGGCGUAAAGCGUGCGUAGGCGGCUAAUUGAGUCGGAUGUGAAAUCCCCGAGCUUAACUUGGGAAUUGCAUUCGAUACUGGUUAGCUAGAGUGUGGGAGAGGAUGGUAGAAUUCCAGGUGUAGCGGUGAAAUGCGUAGAGAUCUGGAGGAAUACCGAUGGCGAAGGCAGCCAUCUGGCCUAACACUGACGCUGAGGUACGAAAGCAUGGGGAGCAAACAGGAUUAGAUACCCCCGUAGUCCCUGUCUCUUAUAC
rnacentral:rRNA from 1 species